rfam:Danio rerio chromosome 4, GRCz11 reference primary assembly.
GGCCGGUUAGCUCAGCUGGUUAGAGCGUGGUGCUAAUAACGCCAAGGUCGCGGGUUCGAGCCCCGUACUGGCCA